rnacentral:rRNA from 2 species
GGUUAAGCGACUAAGCGUACACGGUGGAUGCCCUGGCAGUCAGAGGCGAUGAAGGGCGUGCUAAUCUGCGAUAAGCGCCGGUAAGGUGAUAUGAACCGUUAUAACCGGCGAUACCCGAAUGGGGAAACCCAGUGUGAUUCGUCACACUAUCAUUAACUGAAUCCAUAGGUUAAUGAGGCGAACCGGGGGAACUGAAACAUCUAAGUACCCCGAGGAAAAGAAAUCAACCGAGAUUCCCCCAGUAGCGGCGAGCGAACGGGGAGGAGCCCAGAGCCUGAAUCAGCAUGUGUGUUAGUGGAAGCGUCUGGAAAGGCGCGCGAUACAGGGUGACAGCCCCGUACACAAAAGCGCAUGUGCUGUGAGCUCGAUGAGUAGGGCGGGACACGUGGUAUCCUGUCUGAAUAUGGGGGGACCAUCCUCCAAGGCUAAAUACUCCUGACUGACCGAUAGUGAACCAGUACCGUGAGGGAAAGGCGAAAAGAACCCCGGCGAGGGGAGUGAAAAAGAACCUGAAACCGUGUACGUACAAGCAGUGGGAGCACAGGUUUACCUGUGUGACUGCGUCCCUUUUGUAUAAUGGGUCAGCGACUUAUAUUCUGUAGCAAGGUUAACCGAAUAGGGGAGCCGGAGGGAAACCGAGUCUUAACCGGGCGUUAAGUUGCAGGGUAUAGACCCGAAACCCGGUGAUCUAGCCAUGGGCAGGUUGAAGGUUGGGUAACACUAACUGGAGGACCGAACCGACUAAUGUUGAAAAAUUAGCGGAUGACCUGUGGCUGGGGGUGAAAGGCCAAUCAAACCGGGAGAUAGCUGGUUCUCCCCGAAAGCUAUUUAGGUAGCGCCUCGUGAAUUCAUCUCCGGGGGUAGAGCACUGUUUCGGCUAGGGGGCCAUCCCGGCUUACCAACCCGAUGCAAACUGCGAAUACCGGAGAAUGUUAUCACGGGAGACACACGGCGGGUGCUAACGUCCGUCGUGAAGAGGGAAACAACCCAGACCGCCAGCUAAGGUCCCAAAGUCAUGGUUAAGUGGGAAACGAUGUGGGAAGGCCCAGACAGCCAGGAUGUUGGCUUAGAAGCAGCCAUCAUUUAAAGAAAGCGUAAUAGCUCACUGGUCGAGUCGGCCUGCGCGGAAGAUGUAACGGGGCUAAACCAUGCACCGAAGCUGCGGCAGCGAACGUAUCACUUAAAGCGAUUCAGCGGGUUACGAUUGACGGAGCGAAGCGACGUCAAAGCGUAUACAAAGUCGAGUCGGUUUAAGGAUACGUUCGUUGGGUAGGGGAGCGUUCUGUAAGCCUGCGAAGGUGGCCUGUGAGGGUUGCUGGAGGUAUCAGAAGUGCGAAUGCUGACAUAAGUAACGAUAAAGCGGGUGAAAAGCCCGCUCGCCGGAAGACCAAGGGUUCCUGUCCAACGUUAAUCGGGGCAGGGUGAGUCGACCCCUAAGGCGAGGCCGAAAGGCGUAGUCGAUGGGAAACGGGUUAAUAUUCCCGUACUUGGUGUUACUGCGAAGGGGGGACGGAGAAGGCUAUGUUGGCCGGGCGACGGUUGUCCCGGUUUAAGCGUGUAGGUGUGUGUUCCAGGUAAAUCCGGUUCACUUUAACACUGAGGCGUGAUGACGAGGCACUACGGUGCUGAAGUAACAAAUGCCCUGCUUCCAGGAAAAGCCUCUAAGCAUCAGGUAACAUCAAAUCGUACCCCAAACCGACACAGGUGGUCAGGUAGAGAAUACCAAGGCGCUUGAGAGAACUCGGGUGAAGGAACUAGGCAAAAUGGUGCCGUAACUUCGGGAGAAGGCACGCUGACACGUAGGUGAAGUGAUUUACUCACGGAGCUGAAGUCAGUCGAAGAUACCAGCUGGCUGCAACUGUUUAUUAAAAACACAGCACUGUGCAAACACGAAAGUGGACGUAUACGGUGUGACGCCUGCCCGGUGCCGGAAGGUUAAUUGAUGGGGUCAGCGCAAGCGAAGCUCCUGAUCGAAGCCCCGGUAAACGGCGGCCGUAACUAUAACGGUCCUAAGGUAGCGAAAUUCCUUGUCGGGUAAGUUCCGACCUGCACGAAUGGCGUAAUGAUGGCCAGGCUGUCUCCACCCGAGACUCAGUGAAAUUGAACUCGCUGUGAAGAUGCAGUGUACCCGCGGCAAGACGGAAAGACCCCGUGAACCUUUACUAUAGCUUGACACUGAACAUUGAGCCUUGAUGUGUAGGAUAGGUGGGAGGCUUUGAAGUGUGGACGCCAGUCUGCAUGGAGCCGACCUUGAAAUACCACCCUUUAAUGUUUGAUGUUCUAACGUGGACCCGUUACCCGGGUUGCGGACAGUGUCUGGUGGGUAGUUUGACUGGGGCGGUCUCCUCCUAAAGAGUAACGGAGGAGCACGAAGGUUGGCUAAUCCUGGUCGGACAUCAGGAGGUUAGUGCAAUGGCAUAAGCCAGCUUGACUGCGAGCGUGACGGCGCGAGCAGGUGCGAAAGCAGGUCAUAGUGAUCCGGUGGUUCUGAAUGGAAGGGCCAUCGCUCAACGGAUAAAAGGUACUCCGGGGAUAACAGGCUGAUACCGCCCAAGAGUUCAUAUCGACGGCGGUGUUUGGCACCUCGAUGUCGGCUCAUCACAUCCUGGGGCUGAAGCAGGUCCCAAGGGUAUGGCUGUUCGCCAUUUAAAGUGGUACGCGAGCUGGGUUUAGAACGUCGUGAGACAGUUCGGUCCCUAUCUGCCGUGGGCGCUGGAGAACUGAGGGGGGCUGCUCCUAGUACGAGAGGACCGGAGUGGACGCAUCACUGGUGUUCGGGUUGUCAUGCCAAUGGCACUGCCCGGUAGCUAAAUGCGGAAGAGAUAAGUGCUGAAAGCAUCUAAGCACGAAACUUGCCCCGAGAUGAGUUCUCCCUGAGACUUAGAGUCUCCUGAAGGAACGUUGAAGACGACGACGUUGAUAGGCCGGGUGUGUAAGCGCAGCGAUGCGUUGAGCUAACCGGUACUAAUGAACCGUGAGGCUUAACCUU